rnacentral:rRNA from 1 species
UGCGUAGGCGGAACUGCAAGUCAGUGGUGAAAUCUGAGGGCUCAACCCUCAAACUGCCAUUGAAACUGUGGUUCUUGAGUGAAGUAGAGGUAGGCGGAAUUCCCGGUGUAGCGGUGGAAUGCGUAGAGAUCGGGAGGAACACCAGUGGCGAAGGCGGCCUACUGGGCUUUAACUGACGCUGAGGCACGAAAGCAUGGGUAGCAAACA